GUUAGCAUGGUUAGCCUUUUUGUUCAAGUUUAAUGGAUGGGAGGAUGUCACGAAACAUUUUCUCGUUAGGCAGGCAUUGAAAGGUUUCAGGCGGGGUAAGGUGUCGGUGGAUUCCAGGAGGCCGGUGUCGUUCGAGUUGCUUCAGCGGGUGGUCCGGGUGCUGCCCGAGGUGUGUUUUUCGGGGUACGAGGUUACACUCAAAAAGAUAAUUUAUGCUGGCACUCAAUCACAUAGGUGGUGCUGGUAUUCGAGGUUAUCCCUACAAAAGCCCCAAAAAUAUCAUACAAAAAAUAUAUAUGAAUACCGCACUCAAUGUUGUAAAAUAAUCAACCGUAGGUACAGAAGUGCUAUAAUUGAGUUUAUUAUGUUCAAUUCUUAAAUGUAUAGUUAUAUAACUUAAUAUGUGAGAUUAUGAUUUGAUCAAAAGAAUAUAUUACAUCAUAUAGUCAAUCGCUAUUUACACAAAUAACCUCCAUAGGUGUUAUAUAAAUAAAUAAUUAAUGUAUAAACACAGUUGUAAGUAUUUCUGUUUGCAAAACUAAGGAGAACCUAUCCAUAUGGAUAAUAGUCGAAUCUGUGGUGUUCUAUGUACAUAGAAAAAAGAAAAAAGAAAAAAAGAGAAAAAAGAAGAAAAACUGAAAAAAAUUUACAAAAAUGAUGAAAAAAUUGAAAAAAUAUGUAAAAAAUAUACAGAUAAUAAAUGUCCUGAUGUACAAUAGUCCAGAGAAUAGUGCACUUUUAGAUAAUAAAUAGGUGGAUCUCACCAAGUUGGAUAUCCAGAUGGAUUGUAUCUGGGCCCAAGUACUGUGACGACACCUUGAGGGAGACAUACGAGGAUCACAUCUGACACCUUCAUUGAGUCCUCUUUUCAACGCACAGCAGGAAUUCAGCAGGUUUAAAAACCCUCCAAUAGACACUUUUCCAUUCUUCACAGAGUCUUCAUUUUUUCCAGUUGCUACUAAGGCUACAAUCCAUCUGGAUAUCCAACUUGGUGAGAUCCACCUAUUUAUUAUCUAAAAGUGCACUAUUCUCUGGACUAUUGUACAUCAGGACAUUUAUUAUCUGUAUAUUUUUUACAUAUUUUUUAAAUUUUUUCAUCAUUUUUGUAAAUUUUUUUCAGUUUUUCUUCUUUUUUCUCUUUUUUCUUUUUUCUUUUUUCUAUGUACAUAGAACACCACAGAUUCGACUAUUAUCCAUAUGGAUAGGUUCUCCUUAGUUUUGCAAACAGAAAUACUUACAACUGUGUUUAUACAUUAAUUAUUUAUUUAUAUAACACCUAUGGAGGUUAUUUGUGUAAAUAGCGAUUGACUAUAUGAUGUAAUAUAUUCUUUUGAUCAAAUCAUAAUCUCACAUAUUAAGUUAUAUAACUAUACAUUUAAGAAUUGAACAUAAUAAACUCAAUUAUAGCACUUCUGUACCUACGGUUGAUUAUUUUACAACAUUGAGUGCGGUAUUCAUAUAUAUUUUUUGUACGAGGUUACACUGUUCUCCAUGGUUUUUAGUUUUGCUUUUUUCGGGGCAUUUCGUGUCAGCGAGCU